AUUGAACGCUGGCGGAAUGCUUUACACAUGCAAGUCGAGCGGCAGCGCGGGGGCAACCCUGGCGGCGAGCGGCGAACGGGUGAGUAAUGCAUCGGAACGUACCCAGUCGUGGGGGAUAACGUGGCGAAAGUCACGCUAAUACCGCAUACGUCCUGAGGGAGAAAGCAGGGGAUCGCAAGACCUUGCGCGAUUGGAGCGGCCGAUGUCUGAUUAGCUAGUUGGUGGGGUAAAGGCCUACCAAGGCGACGAUCAGUAGCUGGUCUGAGAGGACGAUCAGCCACACUGGGACUGAGACACGGCCCAGACUCCUACGGGAGGCAGCAGUGGGGAAUUUUGGACAAUGGGCGAAAGCCUGAUCCAGCCAUUCCGCGUGAGUGAAGAAGGCCUCGG
rnacentral:rRNA from 1 species